UGUGGAGUGGUGGCUCGGAGCGUUCCCUCGGCUCUUCUGCCCCUGCUGUAUGCGGCAGCUUCUGGGGUUUGCAGUCCCAGCUGGCCGCGCCUGGAAGCCCUCUAGGGGCGAUCGUGUUAAGGCGAGGAGAACGUGUCUGUGACUACCCUGUGCGGGUUAAUUUUGGAAGUGAUGGUUAAGGCUCCUGGCUUGAGUCUCCUUUAUUUAUGCUGUUAAUUUUGAUGGAGCCCAGCUGGAAGCUGCUCCAGUUAACAAUGAGUUCUCAGCUGGAGAGUUAAAGGCACUUGAAUUUUCAGGAGGCCAGACAGCAAAGAUCAAGUUGUUGGCACAUUGGUUGCUUCUGAGGCACCUCUCCUUGACCUGCAGAUAUCUGACCUAUCGCUGUGUUUUCAUAAGGUCAUCCACCUCCCACAGUUCUUCAUUUUUGGCUUUUGUAUAUGGUUGUUGUCCUUCAGAAGAGUAGUAGGAAGAUUACUACUGCUCCAGGAAAUAAAAUCAAGAAAAAAAGUUUCUUGGUCCUGUUUGCUGAGAAGUUAAUAUCACCACGUAGGAAGGGAGCCACAGGGGCCAAAUUUCCAAAAGACAGGAGGAGUGCCAAGCUCAAGGACCAUGAGAAGAGGACUGAGGGUUUUUUUAAUUAUUUCAAAAUAAAAGGUUGAAUGACAGUGAAUUUUUUUGUCUUAGAUGUGUGUAUAUAGUCAGACUUACGAGCAGUUACUCCCAAUAUGAAUUUGUUAUUUUCAUUCUCAGCAAGUCUGUGCGGCAGUAAUUGAUUAGGUGGGUUUUCAUUUAGAUUCUAGAAAAGAAACCUUGUGUCCUACACGGGCUAAGGGGAGAGCAGCCUUUCCCUGGGGGUGAAGGAAAAUGAGCAGGAUCGUGAGGGUGACGACAAAGGCUGAGAGGAAGAGGAAGGUCAGAAAGACUGAAACCACAUUGCAGGUGGAUUCUUUGCC